AUGCACGCUGGCGGCGUGCCUAAUACAUGCAAGUCGAGCGAACAGACGAGGAGCUUGCUCCUCUGACGUUAGCGGCGGACGGGUGAGUAACACGUGGAUAACCUACCUAUAAGACUGGGAUAACUUCGGGAAACCGGAGCUAAUACCGGAUAAUAUAUUGAACCGCAUGGUUCAAUAGUGAAAGACGGUUUUGCUGUCACUUAUAGAUGGAUCCGCGCCGCAUUAGCUAGUUGGUAAGGUAACGGCUUACCAAGGCAACGAUGCGUAGCCGACCUGAGAGGGUGAUCGGCCACACUGGAACUGAGACACGGUCCAGACUCCUACGGGAGGCAGCAGCAGGGAAUCUUCCGCAAUGGGCGAAAGCCUGACGGAGCAACGCCGCGUGAGUGAUGAAGGUCUUCGGAUCGUAAAACUCUGUUAUUAGGGAAGAACAAAUGUGUAAGUAACUAUGCACGUCUUGACGGUACCUAAUCAGAAAGCCACGGCUAACUACGUG
rnacentral:rRNA from 1 species